UACAUGUCUAUACUGCACCUCCAUAACGUGACUAAAAUUCGGUCUGUGUUUAUUUUGAGUAUGACAUUAGCCGAACUACGGUAAUCUGUUUACACGAAUGCACAGGAAUUGAAAGAUCAGCUCCUUAAGAAAACAGGAUGAAGCCCAACAGCCCAUUAGGAAGACUGAAAGGACCCUCAGUCUUGUCCAUGGGAAAGAGCCCGGAGCGUACAGAACAUACGGAACGUGAUGAAGUAAAAGCCUCGGUCCGCACAUAACCGGCCGAGUACAGUUAUAACAAAAGGGCUUUGUUGAGACAAGUCAUCGGCAUGAGCGUGGCUCUGAGACGUAUGCUUCA